rnacentral:rRNA from 1 species
AUGGGCGAAAGCCUGAUGCAGCCAUGCCGCGUGUAUGAAGAAGGCCUUCGGGUUGUAAAGUACUUUCAGUUGUGAGGAAGGGUGUGUAGUUAAUAGCUGCAUAUCUUGACGUUAGCAACAGAAGAAGCACCGGCUAACUCCGUGCCAGCAGCCGCGGUAAUACGGAGGGUGCGAGCGUUAAUCGGAAUUACUGGGCGUAAAGCGCAUGCAGGUGGUUCAUUAAGUCAGAUGUGAAAGCCCGGGGCUCAACCUCGGAACUGCAUUUGAAACUGGUGAACUAGAGUGCUGUAGAGGGGGGUAGAAUUUCAGGUGUAGCGGUGAAAUGCGUAGAGAUCUGAAGGAAUACCAGUGGCGAAGGCGGCCCCCUGGACAGACACUGACACUCAGAUGCGAAAGCGUGGGGAGCAAACAGGAUUAGAUACCCUGGUAGUCCACGCCGUAAACGAUGUCUACUUGGAGGUUGUGGCCUUGAGCCCGUGGCUUUCGGAGCUAACGCGUUAAGUAGACCGCCUGGGGAGUACGGUCGCAAGAUUAAAACUCAAAUGAAUUGACGGGGGCCCGCACAAGCGGUGGAGCAUGUGGUUUAAUUCGAUGCAACGCGAAGAACCUUACCUACUCUUUGCAUCCAGAAAAACCAGCGGAGACGCAGGUGUUGCUUUGGGAACUGUGGACAGGUGCUGAUGGCUGUCUCACUCUUG